rnacentral:rRNA from 1 species
GAGGAAAAGAAACCAACAGGGAUUGCCUCAGUAACGGCGAGUGAAGCGGCAAAAGCUCAAAUUUUAAAGCUGGCACCUCCGGUGUCCGCGUUGUAAUUUUGUGAGGCAUCUCCGGGUGGGGCGCCGGCCUAAGUUCCUUGGAACAGGACGUCAUAGAGGGUGAGAAUCCCGUGCUUGGCUGGCUGUCCCCGUCCAUGUGAGGUGUCUUCGACGAGUCGAGUUGUUUGGGAAUGCAGCUCAAAAUGGGUGGUAAAUUUCAUCUAAAGCUAAAUAUUGGUGGGAGACCGAUAGCGCACAAGUAGAGUGAUCGAAAGAUGAAAAGCACUUUGAAAAUAGAGUUAAAAAGUACGUGAAAUUGUUGAAAGGGAAGCGCUUGAGACCAGACUUCGGUGGGGAGUGAUCAGCCGUCCUUCUGGGCGGUGCACUUGCCCCCCUCCGGGCCAGCAUCGGUUGGGACGGCGGGAUAAAGGUCCCGGGAAUGUGGCUCCUCUCGGGGAGUGUUAUAGCCCGGGUGAAUGCCGCCAGCCCCGACCGAGGACCGCGCCUUCGGGCUAGGAUGCUUGGCAUAAUGGUCUUCAGCGACCCGU